rnacentral:lncRNA from 1 species
ACAGGGAGUACCUCAAGGUUUCUCUUAUCUCUGGGGAAUGGAAUAGACAGCGCUGGGUAGUGAUACACAGUGGUGAAAACUCUGGAGAAGCACACAACUCACCUACUGUUUGUGUGUAUGUAUGUGUGUAGGAUAUCUACUGUUUGUGUGUAUGUAUGUGCGUAGGAUAUGAAGUGAACUAUAAAAUGGAUGUCUUUGUAUAAUGGACUUCAGAGCUCUCGUAAAUACACAUUCGGAUUAUUGUAAGCUGGGUCUCCGUGUUUCAUUCAACCAGAAUCUUACAAAUUCUGGGUUGCAGACUGAGUAGUUUAAUUGAAGGACUUUGAGAACAAAAUUCUCUUAACAAUUGGUCCUUCGAGCUGGAUCCCAAUACCUGUCCCUGUCUUCCUAAGGUAACACGCCGAAAACUGUGCACGGGUGGGUCUUUGACCCGUAAAUUAAAGACCUGUCCCCUGUGAUUGGGGUUCCAUAGCAGGCCGGUAUAUAUCUAAGGUCGACAGAGACGGUGACGGAAUCCACCCUACAUUGCUUUUCCCAGCCUACAAGACGAAGUUUGGUCUAUUCAACACGGCUCUUUUCGUGACAGAAUCCCCCACCUAACCAACACCAAGCAGCGGAGAGAGGAGCGGCACGCUCAGUAUAUGGACUAUGGGGAAAGAUGGACUUGGGAGGAGAUUUUGGAUGGGGAUGGACCUUGGCAUCAGGCUGGGGAAUACCGUCGCCCACGGGAAGAGAUCGAGGAAUGCAACUCCAGGAAGGGAACUUUUAUUUGUAACUAGUGGAUUUGGUUCUGGGUGUUGAGCCUGAGAUUGUCACAUCUGCUCCUGCCACACCCCCUAGUGGUCAUCCGGUGACUGCUUGACCUGCAGCCAUUCCCCCAGUACGCUCUCUCUCUCUCUCUCCCCCUCCCUUUCUGUUUGUGUGUGAUUGCGUUGUUGGAGACAGGUGUGCUGGAGUCAGAGCAGAUCCCUACCAGCUGCAACUCGUUCCAUUAUCAAGACCUCUACAAAUACUCAGUUCUGCCACCUCCACUCUGCCAGAUCGUAAUUGCUGCUCAAUUUGCCGCCCUGACUCUGGCGCCUGUCUCCUGUUCCACAUCUCACCACCCUGCUACCCUGUUCUGGACUCCCCACACCACCACUCCCUUGGAUUCCCCUCUGGACCUGUAUACCCUGUCCCAACCCAGCACACUCCAACUUCAGCCUCCACAUCUGGUUUCCUACAACUCAUCCAAGCUUCCCCGGAUCUGCACUCCAUAUCUACCUGUGUUACAAUAAAUACCUUGGUUCAUUCAUCUGUUUCCUCGUCUGAGUCUGCUCUUGGGUUCCCCUGUGCCGCUCCACGUAACCG